rnacentral:rRNA from 1 species
AUUGAACGCUGGCGGCAGGCCUAACACAUGCAAGUCGAACGGUAACAGGAAACAGCUUGCUGUUUCGCUGACGAGUGGCGGACGGGUGAGUAAUGUCUGGGAAACUGCCUGAUGGAGGGGGAUAACUACUGGAAACGGUAGCUAAUACCGCAUAACGUCGCAAGACCAAAGAGGGGGACCUUCGGGCCUCUUGCCAUCGGAUGUGCCCAGAUGGGAUUAGCUAGUAGGUGGGGUAACGGCUCACCUAGGCGACGAUCCCUAGCUGGUCUGAGAGGAUGACCAGCCACACUGGAACUGAGACACGGUUCAGACUCCUACGGGAGGCAGCAGUGGGGAAUAUUGCACAAUGGGCGCAAGCCUGAUGCAGCCAUGCCGCGUGUAUGAAGAAGGCCUUCGGGUUGUAAAGUACUUUCAGCGGGGAUGAAGGGAGUAAAGUUAAUACCUUUGCUCAUUGACGUUACCCGCAGAAGAAGCACCGGCUAACUCCGUG